rnacentral:rRNA from 1 species
UACGGGGGGGAGCAAGCGUUGUUCGGAUUUACUGGGCGUAAAGGGCGCGUAGGCGGUCAGCACAAGUCAAUUGUGAAAUCUCCGAGCUUAACUCGGAAAGGUCAACUGAAACUGUGCGACUAGAGUGCGGAAGGGGCAACUGGAAUUCUUGGUGUAGCGGUGAAAUGCGCAGAUAUCAGGAAGAACACCCGUGGCGAAGGCGGCUCUCUGGAACGCAACUGACGCUGAGACGCGAAAAGCGUGGGGAGCAAACAGG